rnacentral:rRNA from 1 species
GAUGAACGCUGGCGGCGUGCCUAAUACAUGCAAGUCGAGCGAACGGACGAGAAGCUUGCUUCUCUGAUGUUAGCGGCGGACGGGUGAGUAACACGUGGAUAACCUACCUAUAAGACUGGGAUAACUUCGGGAAACCGGAGCUAAUACCGGAUAAUAUUUUGAACCGCAUGGUUCAAAAGUGAAAGACGGUCUUGCUGUCACUUAUAGAUGGAUCCGCGCUGCAUUAGCUAGUUGGUAAGGUAACGGCUUACCAAGGCAACGAUGCAUAGCCGACCUGAGAGGGUGAUCGGCCACACUGGAAGUGAGACACGGUCCAGACUCCUACGGGAGGCAGCAGUAGGGAAUCUUCCGAAAUGGGCGAAAGCCUGACGGAGCAACGCCGCGUGAGUGAUGAAGGUCUUCGGAUCGUAAAACUCUGUUAUUAGGGAAGAACAUAUGUGUAAGUAACUGUGCACAUCUUGACGGUACCUAUUCAGAAAGCCACGGCUAACUACGUG